rnacentral:piRNA from 1 species
UAAUGACGUUCUUCCAGUUGGUCC